CUGUGGUAAAAUGAGCUAUAUCCUGCUGAAACUCUAAUUUCACUAACAGACUCUUUCCUGUGAAAUGGGCCAAUGACACCUCACUGAAUCUGGAACAACAGGCCUAACAGGAAACAUCUGAAAGAAAGUGCUACACGUCCAUUAGCUGCAACUCUUCUCUCUUCCUGUCGUGUGAGCAGCUGUCGAUCAGCUUACCUUCAUUCAAACAUCUCUCUAAAAGAAUUUUAAAGUUGGACAAUGUUGAGAGCGCGGUUUCUGCUUGGCAGCUGAGUCUUAUCUGCCAUUGAGUCAGCGGCAACGAGCGACACAGAGAGUAAAAGGAGACAAGCGGCUUGUAUUUGGGAGAACGACUGUGAAUAUGGCAGAGUCUUCCGGGAUGCCUCCAUACUACCCGUACGGCAAGGCGAGGGAGGGGUGGAGAGACGGCGGCGAAAAACGCCAUCAGUAUGAAUAUUCAUCGUGCGUGGGCAACGUCGUGCACUGCAUAUUAACUAAUCAAGGGGUUAAUAUGACUUUGGCACAAAAGCCUACAGUGCACCGCGUGCGGGAAACGAAAUUAAAUUUAAAUAAAUAUCUCCGCCGUCGUGCAUGCAAAUGAGCUCGCGCCAAUUAUCAGCCCUCGUUCUGUGGGAGGUGCUUCUGGUGCUAUGAGGUUGGAGCGUGGAUGUAUGGAUGAGCAGUUCUGUGGGGUUCAUUUUAACAUGCGUGUUGUUCGGGGUUCAUCCCGAUGAGUUACAACUUCAAGGGUCCGAUGGUAAUAACCUCCAAAGUGGCUCGAGCCGCGCGUGCAUAAUUCUACCCCUCCGGCAUCUGUAAGGAAAGCAGUGGUCAUGGCGCUGUGCCCGUGUUUGUGUGUGUGUGUGUGUGUGUGUGGGAGCUGUCACUCAACACUGGCCAGAUGAUGUUUCUUAAGAGCAUCACUAUACUCUCAUAGAAAGAGGGAUUUAAAACUAACUAUUCUGUAAGUGAUUUGUGCUCAAAAUAUUCUGGUGACUACCCUACACCACUACUCUUUGUUCAGUGUGUAUCUUUUGUUUUUUGUAAUUUAAACCUAAAAAGUGUAUUUUUUUUAAUGUAGCUGUUGGGGUAUGGUGAUAAAGUAUUAAAGGCACAUUUAUCAUCAGGUUUAGAGGCGCUCUUUAUUUUCCUGCUCUUUGUCAUGUAGGCCAUAAUCCCAGGUGAUUAUGGCCUACAUGACAAAUGCCGAAGUCAUUAAAACGUCAUCACUUUAAUAAAUUAUAUAACCGCCAUCAACUUCCCCAGUCAGUUGAUGGUAUUUUCAGGGCAUACAAACAGGACAGGUCAAACGCCUUGACAGUACGUGCCACAUCUUUGUUAUAGCUUAGAUGUGAAGAAAGUUGUAAAUUGCAGUCCAAAGUCUUCAAGCAAGUCAUAUCAGUUAUGUGGACAGAGUGCAUCAUCGCUGAAUGUUAAUGUCCAGGAUGUGGCACAAGCAUCGAAAGCUGGACAUCAUUUUACACUCUGUUAUGGAUGGAAAAUCAAAAAAAGACCAAAAAAGAAAAAACAAAGGAAAGUGUCAAGCUGAAAGGGUUGAUCAAAAGAAAAUGAACAGUUUGGUCAUUUUCAGGCAAAACUCCAAAAACAAUCUUUGGUUUCACGAGAUAAGAUAAGAACUUUAUUGAUUGAGGAAAGUGUUGUGCCAGAGUUACAAUACAAAGAAGCAUACAAAAGUAGAAAGCAAUUUCCCCACAAAAUAUAAUAAUGUAUAUAAAAAUAACAGAGUCUAUAGUAUAUACAUGAGAUGUAGAUGGAUAACAUCUUCUCCAAUGUGAGGAUUUGCUGCUUAUUGUCAUCUGUCAUUGAACAUCUAUUGAUUCUGGAUGGUGAGUUGGACAAAACAAGGUUAGUGUCAUUGUGGACUCUGGGAAACUGGUGGUUUAAACAAUGAAUCCAUUGUGCAAUAAAAUAUUAGUUGCAGCCAUAUGUAAGAGUCACCAGUCACUGUGGCCUGUUGGUUGAAGAUGCACAUCACAUAACUUUAACAUCCUUGACUGAGGGAAAGACAUGCACCUUUGCUGUAUCCCUCUCACUCUCACAUUUCCUGUCUGAUUUUCUACUGAAACCUGUAAUCAGUUAAAAAAAAAAAAAAAAAAAAAGUCACAAAGAGUCACAGGCCUGCACUGGUCAGCUCAUUCUGAGAAGUGAUUUUCUUUCCACUGCGACCAGACCAGCAAUGUGAUAGUAAUGAGGAUGAUUAUUUACGUGUGAGAACUUGAAGCAUUCUUCUGCAUGCUUUGAACCAGCCAAUUUACCAGUAACAAAGAAUCCAGGCCAUUGUUCAUAUAUCCUGCACGCCAGAAUAACAUCACACCCUGCUGCAAUCCCCCUUUCCUCUCUCUCUCUCUCUCUUCCUCUUUCUCUCUCUCUCUUAUCUGCUGGGGAAAUGAAGCUCAAUCACCUGCGGAGGAGCUGAGGGCGGCACAGGGGACUUUGCAAUGCAAAUGCCAGAGACUCUGCCGCAUGCUGUCAUGGAGGAAGGAUCUACUCUUAAUUCAGAAGAAUAUCUGAGAGCACAGAAGUAUUGGAAGAAAAGAAGAAGAAUUCUCUCUGUCAGUAGUCUGACAGCUGGAAGGACUUUUGAUAUCGCAGGAUGCUACAUGCAGAUACAAAACGAGGGAGAGGACAGAGAAACGGGGAAACAGGAUGUGAUUGGAGGGAGCUGAGUGCUGCUAUGUAACGCCAGUCCACUUCCUCCCGCUCUGGCACUCCAUCCGUGCUAAGAGUGGCUGGGCUAAGCCACUCUUGCCCUACAUACAGCCUAAACAGCAGAUUACUGACUGUCCCUCUAAUCCCAUGCACCAGGGCAUGUGCCACUGUCACCAUACACCAACCACCCAAUCGCCCUGCAGCCACCGUCACCAUGCUUGCUGUUCUGCUGGCUGUGCAAGCCCAGCACCCUGAUCCCUUACCAUCUUCGCUGUUUUCGUUUUUUGGUUAGUCAUUUUGGAUUUUCGGGUUUUAUCUCUAUCUGAAUGAAGCACGCUGGAAGGCAGAGGUAUCGAAACAAUUCAUUCCACUCGAAUCUCACUCGCUCUGUCUUUCCCUAGCAACACUCGGUCCCAUCCUCAUCAUUCCAGUGACCCCCACCCUCUCUCCGUUUUAACCUCCUCAUGACCACCUGGCGCGGGAUAGCUUCCUCCAGUCCCUUAGCCUCACCUAAACCACCAGGCCUGAGAUUAGGGUUAAUCUGGACGUUGUGUCAUCCUGUAUCUCUCCACCACCCCCACAGACCCAUUCUUUCCUCUAUCCCUCCCUCCCUCCCUCCCUCCCUCCUCUUUACCAAAGAGGCUUUGGUUCAAAAUCCUUUAUUGUGAACCCCCGCUCCCCUUGCAGUGUCUUUCUGCCCGCUGCCAACUGCAACUUUUCCUCCUGCACCACAUCCUCAGCCAAUCCUCAAACAGAUAGUGCUAGAACCUGUCCCCAAGCGAUGUUGGUUAAGAGAUGCGAGCAAAGGAUUUUUGCAUCUUUUGCUUUAGAAUAGAUCUGGAAUUAGGCCGGCACAUGCAUACAAAAAAUAAAAUGCUUGCUCGUGUAUGUGUGCAUAUGAGCGUGCAGUGAUAUAUAAGACUAUACUUAGCAAGCGUGCAUACAGUGCGAUGACUUGUCGUAAUGGUGUGCAUGCAAUGGUGUACUGGCGUAUGUGUGGAUCUUUGUCCACGACUGAGAGUGCUUGCUCAAUUCAUACCAACAAGGGAUUUAAAUGAGAGUCUAGAGAAUUCAUCUUCAACUCUGCUGUCCCAAUCACCCAACCCCCAGUGCAUAUAGCCAGCCGAGCUCUCCCAGUCCUCUCACCCUGAGGACACACUGAAGGCACGAAGGCCCAAGUGGGAUGAAGAGACUCCACAAUGGUGCAGAGCACAAAGAUGCGUAGAGAAUGAAGACAAAAAGGGGGAAAAGAUACAUAGUGCUAAAGCCCCUUUUCAGUUUUUUUAUUUUUUUUUUGUCUCCAGAAAUAAAUGGCAAUUUCUCCCUCAAGCAAAGUCUCCUUUCUUGAGUUGAAAAGCCAGCAAAAAGCACUUGGCAGACAGAAACUGGCAGAAGGGAGAGUGAGAGGUAGAGAGGCAGCGAGAGAUGUAGGCCAGCAAUAAAGUGUCUUAUCGUAAGGGGGCAGAGAGAAAGACCCUUCAGCAUGAGAACCUCCACGAGUCGGACGCUUUAAUGAGAAAAUGGCAUGGAGGAUCUGUUGAAAUGAUCACAAGAUGCUGAGCUUUUAAUGUUAAUGUCA